AUCCUUUGGUUCAUAAUGUGAUGACUGGGUGUUUGUGCUGCGUGCAUGAGAUGUGUGUCCCGCAAGCCUUGUUACGAUGUGGGUACAUUACCUGUCUGACC